rnacentral:snoRNA from 1 species
AACAAUGUCUUUUAUUAAAUAGACACCCAGAGUCACGAUUCGUUUUUAGGAUGAAAUAUGCCAGUGAACGUAUAUAUUCCAUUCGUUGGGAUCAUACGGUAAGGUACUCGAUAUCUUACUGUCGUGCUCGCGGUUGAUCUUAGAUUAAUCUUUUGCAAAAAGGAAUUUGAAAUGUAUCUACCCUGGAAGUAUGAACGAAUAUACUUAUGAUUAGAUCCAUCUUUAUUACAAAU